UACGUAGGGGGCAAGCGUUUGUCCGGAGUACUGGGCGUAAAGCGCACGCAGGCGGUCGAUUAAGUUUGGAGUGACAGUUGGUGGCUUAACUGCCAAAGUGCUUUGAAAACUUGAAUCGACUUGAGGGCUUCAGAGGGACACGGAAUUCCGGGUGGAGUGGUGAAAUGCGUAGAGAUCCGGAGGAACACCGAAGGCGAAGGCAGUGUCCUGGGGAGUACCUGACGCUCAGGUGCGAAAGCCAGGGGAGCGAACGGG
rnacentral:rRNA from 1 species